CCACCCCCCGCCCCCUGCUCCCUUCCCGCCUUCCCUUCCGGAGUAGCGUGAGCUCACUUCCCUCACAGCCGAAGCGUCUGGCGCCAUCUUGGGUCAGGGCGGCGGGUCCCUGAAGGAGGCGGAGGCUCUGGGAGCUGGUAGCUGGGCGACUGGCUGAUGGGCGAGGGAGGGCGAGGGAGGGCGCCGCAACGGAACGAGGAACCCGGACAGUGAAGGAGGAAGAAACAAAGGAGCCAGCAGCACUAGAGAGUUCCCUUCUGGCUGAGCUGAGGGACGACAGAGAGGAAAGCCAUUCAGCUCCAGGGUCCUGACAAAAAGUUGGUUGACCCUGUAGAUGUGAGCAGAACUCUCAAAGUCACAUCACCCAAGAGGAAAACUAGUGUUUCUGCUACUGCUUCAGUGAGCGCAACUAAUCUGAUCAGCAUGGUCCAGGGACAGUUGAGAGUUCUUGGGCAAGAGGGGAAUCUGCUGCUGCAUCGAUGGGAAACACUCAGGCUCACCCUUGAAAUGCAUCUUAAGCCAUUGGGACCAAUUUGACCCACAAACCCUGAAAAAGAAGCAGCUUAUUUUUUUCUGCACUGUGGCCUGGCCCCAAUAUUCUCUCUCUGAUGGGGAAAAAUGGCCACCUGAGGGAAGUAUAAAUUACAAUACUAUCCUGCAGCUUGACCUUUUCUGUAAGAGGGAAGGCAAAUGGAGUGAAAUACCUUAUGUCCAAGCUUUCUUUUCAUUGAAGAAUAAUCCAC
rnacentral:lncRNA from 1 species